AUUGCGAAAACAUCAAAAAGCGAAGGGGCUAAAAACGCAAUUUAUCCCUCCGCAUAAAAAACACGCGGAUCCCCCUGGAUCGGGUCGGGUCGAUUCGAUCCAUGACAAAACGACGUCGUUUUGGGCGUUUUGGAGUUGGGCCAAAACGCCGCCGUUUCAUGGGCCUAUAUAAGCCAAAAAUUUUCCAAAAAAAAAUUCAUUUUCUUCCCCCCUUUUAUAAAAAAAAACCAAAAAUGCUCUCUCUUCUCCCCUUCUUCUUCGGCCAAGGGCCCGGCCGUUGGCCACCUCACUGACCGCCGGUCACUGGUGCCGGUGCCGCCACACACAGUGGUGGGAAACUGAAAAGUUUCCCCUUUUUUUGCCGAAUCGUCUCUCAACCACCCCUAGUACUCC
rnacentral:lncRNA from 1 species